AUUACCAAGUUCAUCAACAACAACAUUACUCCAUGUUUGCCCCUCAGAGGCACAAUCACGGCGUCUGGUGACCUGGUUCCAUUGUCCUACAUUGCUGGGCUUUUGACCGGGCGGCCCAAUUCCAAGUCAGUAGGGCCCAACGGAGAAUCCUUGGAUGCAUCUGAAGCCUUUAAGCUAGCUGGGAUUAACGGUGGAUUCUUUGAAUUGCAGCCCAAAGAGGGUCUAGCUCUAGUAAAUGGUACUGCAGUUGGUUCUGGGUUGGCUUCUAUGGUUCUUUUUGAGGCCAAUGUGUUGGCAAUCCUAUCAGAAGUUUU
rnacentral:misc_RNA from 1 species